rnacentral:lncRNA from 1 species
GUUCGAAGCACAACAAAUUAAAGAUAUGCAACGGGAGAGGAGUGCCCUCGAUUCCUUUCUUGAACCAAUCGAUUUAAACCAAGGCUCUCUGCCCAACAACAACAAUAACCACUUCUUCCAUGGAUCACUCCUCUUGGGAUAACAUGCUAAACCCAGUCGAUAAUCAGUUGCCUAAUUACACGAGUCCCACUAAUGCUAUAGACGCCGCCCAAUGCUUCAGUGGGUGGGACCGCGGCGAAUCCAGCUCCGGCACUGCAAACAAUACCCACUGUAACAGGAAAAUGAGAAAGAGAAAACUGGAGAGAGAUUGUACCCAAUAAUUCAGAAGAUUGUACCCAAAUGAACGAAGAAGGAGGAGAAUGAUUGGAUGGAGAGAGAAUGUGUUAUAAUUAAUAAAUGUAUGAAAAUGGGCAAACCAGUAAUUUACCUAACAAAUUCAUAGAAAACUGUGUUAUCACCCAAACAAAACAUGAUAUUAUUAUUGCAGGUAUUACUAGUUUCUCCCCCAUAACUCCAACCAAAUAAUAUGACUAAUAUAAGUCAUCAUGCUUUUAAUCACAAUAUUAUGUAUCUCAUCCCAACUUAUAUAUCAAGACAUUCG